CUAUUUUUGAAUUUAUAAAAAUUUCUUUAUAAAUGAUACUUUGUUAGCAUAGUAAAAUAUAUCAUUAUACUAUGUGUAUGUUUGUUGUAGCGUCGCCAAAACUAGAACUCUGUAAGUGCCUCUCAUAAAAGAUCCUCAACAGAGGAGGAAGAAGAAAAUAUUAAGCCAUUAUAUAAUGUUCCUUAUCAAGGUAUCAAUGACUACUGAGGUGUUAAUGACAAGGAAUUGGUACUGUUUCUGUUGUAAGGUUAGAUUUUGCACAUUGAAGCUAUCAGAACGUAUUUUGGUUUAGAUUUAAAUUCUCUACCGAGCAGAAGUAAUAUUCUACAUUGGUUUUCAGGUCCUGUCCAAAGUUUUAGAACUGCAUAGGUAUCAUCAAAGCAUUUGUAAAGUAUCUUCAGUAUUUUAUGAUAUUCUACCCUAAUGGUAAAAUUGGUUGUGUUUAUGUGUGUAAUUGACUACUGAGACACAAAGUGUCCAAACACCGUAUGGAAAUUACUCCCUUCCCAAGGCACAUCCAGGGAAUCAUAUGUGGCUCUUGUGCAAAAGCUAGCACCUCUCAGCGCAUGUUGGGAGAGCCCACAGUAGGUGUUUCAACAAAGGAGAUGCGGUGGAGGCAUAGAGGACAAUCCAGAGAUCCUAACUGCAGGAGGUAGCCACUGUUCCUAGAGGAAAGGAAAUAAGAGGGCGGGGGGGGGGGAGUUGGGGUUGACAGAACCUUGGAGCUCCUAAACAGGAGUCCUCAUGGACUUAGUGCACAAAGCUCUGAGACAGUUCACCACCCACCUGCUCUUGCUACUUCUGAGGGAUGCAGUGAAGAUAGUUCCAGACCUUCGGAAAGUAGUUGAAGACUGGAAUCAACUGACAUUAUUAGGUCCACACUGGUAGGCUGGGCAAGCAAAGAUAAAGAAGUAAAUCUUGUUUUCCUCUUCCUACCUUCCAUCUUCUCUCUAGUACUUACUGGCAGAAUCUAAAUGGAAUGCAGCAGUCAAGGGGGUCAGGAAAAUGCAGUUUAUGGAGUCCCAGCCCCAGCAUCACAGAGCAAAGGAUAGAAAGGUGGAACUGGAGCUGAGAGAUAAUAGGUAAAGAACACAUUAGUUUCCUUUUAAAAAUUCCUUUUUGCCCAAAGAUGUUAAUCCCGAAAAUGCUAAAUAUUCAGGAAUAUAUUUGUAGACUAUCUCUGGGACCUCAAGAGUAAAUGCACUGGUUCUAAUUGAAAUCAUGUUGCUCUUUU
rnacentral:lncRNA from 1 species